rnacentral:misc_RNA from 1 species
AAGUCGUAACAAGGUCUCCGUAGGUGAACCUGCGGAGGGAUCAUCAAAGGAUUUAUAAGAGGGUUUUUUUUCUCUCUCUUUUUCAAACAAACGAUCGCAACUAUUAACUACCAGUCGGAGGGAUAUAAAAGUGCUUGCCUGAUAUCAAGUUUGGUUGGAAAAUAAUGAUACAACUUUCAACAACGGAUCUCUUGGCUCUCA